UACGAAGGGGGCUAGCGUUGCUCGGAUUUACUGGGCGUAAAGGGCGCGUAGGCGGACAGUUUAGUCAGAGGUGAAAGCCCAGGGCUCAACCUUGGAAUUGCCUUUGAUACUGGCUGUCUUGAGUACGGGAGAGGUGAGUGGAACUCCGAGUGUAGAGGUGAAAUUCGUAGAUAUCGGGAGGAACACCAGUGGCGAAGGCGACUACCUGGCCUGUUCUUGACGCUGAGGCGCGAAAGCUAGGGGAGCAAACGGG
rnacentral:rRNA from 1 species